AAUACUUGCAAGUUUCAAUAAUACUGCACAAGCAGACCCUGAGGAUGAAGACUCCUCCUAAACCCUACAGGUUCCCAACUAAACCAACUUAGAAAGAUGUACGAGAGUGACAUGAAUGAAAAACUGAAGUGAUUUCAAUGAACCCUGGAAAAUGUCGACCCUCCAAGAUGGAAUCUUGGCAAGAAUCUUGAGGACUCUUCAUGGAUCCGUGAAGUAGAGGAGGAAAACUCCAAAGGUAAAAGACAAUUUCAUGAUUUUCGAGUUCUCACGAUCCCACAAGGGAAUCCUUUCAUCAUCUUUGGGUAGAGCAUAAUAAAGAAAAUUACCACCAAAAGGGCCACAAGUGGCAAAACUGUAGGGCCCAUCCCUUUUGAAAAUGCUGUUUCAAUUUGAUUGUUAAAAUCAUAUAUUUUCAAAACCUUUCUCCCUUUAUAAAGGACUUCCUCCAUCACUACAAGAGGGUAAACUGUUAGUCAAUCUGGCCUCGUUCUUGGAUCCAACAUCCUACGCCUGUUAUGAAUGCUUAAAACUAGUCAGGCACUCCAUGGUUGUAUGAGUAUAACUAUCAACUACCACAUAUCGGAGAUGGGUGAACCUCGCCAAUGACGAUAUUGGCUAGUCUGCGUUUUUCUCUCAACUGGAUCCCCUGAGGCAAACUGAGGCAAGCUCAUCCCCGUGUGUGCAUACGAUGACCCAGUAGCCGAAAAAUCAGACAAAAACGGUAAAACUAGAUGAGUUUGUAAAUAUUCAUUUUGAAAAGUGUGUGCAAAGAAAGUGUUUUACUAUGCUUCGAUGAAUAAAAUUGCACACUUAUAGGGGCAAGCUUAGCAAACACCCCCCAACAAGGGCAAUAAAAAAAAAUUAUUUCAAACUUCCCAUAACAGGGGCAAAAGUUGAGAAAGACCUCACAACAGGGGCAACAACACU
rnacentral:lncRNA from 1 species